AUCAGUUCUCUUUUUUCUCUUUUUUCUGCGAAUCUAAUAGAGAACGUCGGGCAUAGAAGAAUUCUAGGGAUAGAAGGAGAAACUUUUCUAGAUCUGAAAGCAAAUCGCACCUUUAAAUCAAUAGGAAGUGAUUAUUCAAAUGGAAAACAAGAUCUUACACAUGUUGUGGCAUCAGGGCACAAUGUCUUUUUGGUUCACCCAAAAAGGGGAUAUGGAAAUUGAUUUGAGUCAGAUGCGGGAGGAUAUCCGAUUACCUAGAUCCCCAAAAGGGGCUAAAAAGGUAGUUUACAAGCUAUAGGCCGAGAUCAUAUAACUAACCUGCAGCUUCACUAUUAUCUUCGCGUCUAGGUGCACUUUGAUAUCUUCUUAAAUGCUACCAGUUAUCUACUGUAUACGGUUCCUGAAGGAAGCUCCACUCAUGUUUAAUUGAUUCAUAAUUCUUUUAACUGCCAUUUUGACGUGUUCUCAGUUAGAAUAUCAGUAGGGAAGGGGUGAAGUAGGCUAGAAUUCCAGGCGUUUUUUGUGUCGGAUAAAAGAUGCCCAGGCAUAUGUUCAUCUUAAACAUAGUAAAGAAACAAUGAAAGUAGCUGAAGACAGUGCGGCUAAAAGAGUUUAGUGGAGCAUAUGUGGGGAAGUCUAGGAUUGCAGAAUGAUGUGUCAAAAGAGCAGCUGGUUAUGAUAUAUAUUAAAAAUUUCUUUGCAAAUGUAUAUUGCAAUUUUGGUUAUCUAUUAACUUGUUUGUAGCAUGUAUUACGUUGUAUUGUAAUAACUGUUAGACAAAGAACUAAUAAUGUAACUGAGAAGAAGAUACUUAGA